rnacentral:rRNA from 1 species
AUUGAACGCUGGCGGCAGGCCUAACACAUGCAAGUCGAACGAGUGGCGGACGGGUGAGUAAUGUCUGGGAAACUGCCUGAUGGAGGGGGAUAACUACUGGAAACGGUAGCUAAUACCGCAUACCAUCGGAUGUGCCCAGAUGGGAUUAGCUAGUAGGUGGGGUAAAGGCUCACCUAGGCGACGAUCCCUAGCUGGUCUGAGAGGAUGACGAGCCACACUGGAAAAGAGACAAGGUCCAGAAUCCUAAGGGAGGCAGGAGUGGGGAAUAUUGCACAAUGGGCGCAAGCCUGAUGCAGCAAUGCCGCGUGUAUGAAGAAGGACUUCGGGUUGUAAAGUACUUUCAGCGGGGAGGCGUUAGCCGCAGAAGAAGCAACGGCUAACUCCGUGCAAGCCGCCGAGGUAAUAC